rnacentral:rRNA from 1 species
UACGUAGGGUGCAAGCGUUGUUCGGAAUCACUGGGCGUAAAGCGCGUGUAGGCGGCUUCCUAAGUCUGGUGUGAAAGCCCGGGGCUCACCCCCGGAAGUGCACUGGAAACUGAGAGGCUUGAGUACCGGAGAGGAGGGUGGAAUUCCUGGUGUAGCGGUGAAAUGCGUAGAUAUCGGGAGGAACACCUGUGGCGAAAGCGGCUCACUGGACCAUUACUGACGCUGAGGCUCGAAAGCUAGGGGAGCAAACAGG